UAAGUACUCCCUCCGUCCGGAAUUACUUGUCGCGGAAAUGGAUGUAUCUCUAACUAAAAUAUGUCUAGAUACAUCUAUUUCUCCAACAAGUAUUUCCGGACGGAGGGAGUACAUG
rfam:Triticum aestivum genome assembly, contig: Triticum_aestivum_CS42_TGACv1_scaffold_623520_7DS